GUCCUGGCCGUAAACGAUGGGUACUAGGUGUAGGAGGUAUCGACCCCUUCUGUGCCGGAGUUAACGCAAUAAGUACCCCGCCUGGGGAGUACGGCCGCAAGGUUGAAACUCAAAGGAAUUGACGGGGCCCGCACAAGCGGUGGAGUAUGUGGUUUAAUUCGACGCAACGCGAAGAACCUUACCAGGGCUUGACAUUGAGCGCCAUACUAAGAGAUUAGUAGUUCCCUUCGGGGACGUGAAAACAGGUGGUGCAUGGCUGUCGU
rnacentral:rRNA from 1 species